rnacentral:rRNA from 1 species
UACGUAGGUGGCAAGCGUUGUCCGGAUUUACUGGGCGUAAAGAGCGCGCAGGCGGUCGUUCAAGUCGCGUGUGAAAGCCCCCGGCUCAACUGGGGAGGGUCACGCGAUACUGAUCGACUCGAAGGCAGGAGAGGGUAGUGGAAUUCCCGGUGUAGUGGUGAAAUGCGUAGAUAUCGGGAGGAACACCGGUGGCGAAGGCGGGUCUCUGGGUCGUAACUGACGCUGAGGAGCGAAAGCGUGGGGAGCGAACAGG